rnacentral:rRNA from 1 species
UACAAGCCGUCAGAGCCUUUUGGGUGAUGGCGUGCCUUUUGAAGAAUGAGCCUGCGAGUCAGCGGCAUGUCGCGAGGUUAACCCGUGUGGGGUAGCCGUAGGGAAACCGAAUCCUAAUGAGGGUGUUUGUAGUGGCAUGUUCUGGACCCGAAGCGGGGUGAUCUACCCAUGGCCAGUGUGAAGCGAUGGUAAGACGUCGUGGAGGCGCGAACCCACGUAGGUUAAAAACUGCGGGGAUGAGUUGUGGGUAGGGGUGAAAGGCUAAUCAAACUGGGAAAUAGCUCGUACUCCCCGAAAUGUUUUUAGGAACAGC